rnacentral:rRNA from 1 species
CAGCCGCCGCGGGAAUACGUAGGGUGCAAGCGUUAGUCGGAAUUACUGGGCGUAAAGCGUGCGCAGGCGGUUAUAUAAGUCAGAUGUGAAGUCCCCGGGCUCAACCUGGGAACUGCAUUUGAGACUGUAUGGCUAGAGUGUGUCAGAGGGGGGUAGAAUUCCACGUGUAGCAGUGAAAUGCGUAGAUAUGUAGAGGAAUACCGAUGGCGAAGGCAGCCCCCUGGGAUAACACUGACGCUCAUGCACGAAAGCGUGGGGAGCAAACAGGAUUAGAUACCCCAGUAGUCCCUGUCUCUUAUAC